AGUCGUGAGGGUUCGGCCCUCGGCGAACGGCUCAGUAACACGUAGAUAAUUUGCCCUUAGGUGGAGGAUACCCUCGGGAAACUGAGAAUAAUACUCCAUAGAUUUAGAAUGCUGGAAUGCUUUUAAAUUGAAAGAUUUAUCGCCUAAGGAUAAGUCUGCGGACUAUCAGGUCGUAGUUAGGGUAAAUACCUGACUAGCCUACGACGGAUACGGGUUGUGAGAGCACUAGCCCGGAGAUGAUAUCUGAGACACGAUAUCAGGCCCUACGGGGCGCGGCAGGCGCGAAAACUUCGCACUGUGCGAAAGCACGACGAGGGAAUCCCAAGUGCUGGCUCGUAAGAGUCAGCUGUUUCUUUGUCUAAAAAACAGAGAGAGUAAGAGCUGGGUAAGACGGGUGCCAGCCGCCGCGGUAAUACCUGCAGCUCAAGUGGUGGCCGCUAUUAUUGGGCCUAAAACGUCCGUAGCCGGUUCUAUAAAUGCCUGGGUAAAUCGUACGGCUUAACCGUACGAAUUCCGGGUAGACUGUUCAACUUGGGACCGGGAGAGGCUAGAGGUACUCCUGGGGUAGAGGUGAAAUUCUGUAAUCCUAGGGGGACCACCAGUGGCGAAGGCGUCUAGCUAGAACGGGUCUGACGGUGAGGGACGAAGCCCUGGGGAGCAACGGGAUU
rnacentral:rRNA from 1 species